rnacentral:lncRNA from 1 species
GUAAAACUUUGGGGAGAAGACUGUCGACAGAAAAUAACUGGAAGACAAAAGGCAUCCCUUAGUCUGUUGGUUGAGGAGAGAAUGCCCGUGUGCCCACACGUGUGAAAUGACUUUAGAAGGCUCACGAAGGGCGGGUGCAAAAUAAUAUCGUACAACGCGACUGACCCACAGUGGGAGCUCAGUAGCUGUCGGUUGAUGGGUGAGUUGAUGAGUUACCAGUGCCCUCGGGGAGAAGGAAAGCAUGAAGGAGCAAUUGCAGGACAAUCUGGGGUGACGGCAGGGAGGAGGCUGUGAGCUCCCCACUGCUGGCAGGUGGCACAGGGCAGUUCUGGCAUCGUGUGUGCAGAAGGAGCCCAGGCUACCUCCAGCUCGACCACGGGGUUGCUGAGCGAGUUUUUGUUGCCUCCUGUAAGGAUGGUCAAGUCCAUUGCGUAGCACCUUGUGUGGAUCUCAGCAGCACAGGACAACACAAUAAGCUGCCAUCUCUUGUGUUCCCUUGGGGAUAGGGGGAGGGAGCAGGCAUGGAAUCCUGGCCGUGGAGGUAGGAUGUGGUUUGAUGCUGUUCUUCUGCAUGCACCAUCCCAAGGGGCGCCUGAGGAUGCAGCGCUGGCUGCGGUCCAGGUAAAUUGGAGGCAGUCCUAGAAGUAAGAACAUCCAUCAUGCUUAGUAAGAUCUUAGGUUGUAACGGCUGCCUUGAGCCUCCAGACAUUUUUUAUAAAGCUCCUGGUCAUGAAGCACUCUUUCUGCCUCUGCUGCCAUAUGUUUUUCCAGCUGGACCUCCACCAGUCUUCUGCUUUCCAGAAAGUUCUCAUUC